rnacentral:misc_RNA from 1 species
GAACUCUCAAAGUCUCUUUCCUUUAAACAGGUCAGAGUGCUUUGGAUCAUGGGCGCUUGCUGGCUUUGCCUGCUCGCCUCAAAUCAAAUGUGGUGGUCUUCUCUGAAGCCUUUGUCGGGUUUGACCUGGAGUGAUAGAAGUCUUUCGAGAUCUCUGGGGACUGCCUUAGGGCGGCCUGCUUUGGUGGGAGGGAUUGCCUAGCUAGACUCAUCUGACGUUU